rnacentral:tRNA from 1 species
GCCCUGGUGGCACAAUGGUUAAGUGCUCAGCUGAUAAGUGAAAGGUUGGUGGUUCAAAUCUACCCAGAGGCG